rfam:Candidatus Caldiarchaeum subterraneum DNA, complete genome, from subsurface mine microbial mat.
GCCGGGGUGGCCGAGCAGCGAGGCGGCGGCCUGCAGAGCCGCUUUACAGGGGUGCAAAUCCCCUCCCCGGCU